CCUACGGGGUGCAGCAGUGGGGAAUAUUGGGCAAUGGGCGCAAGCCUGACCCAGCAACGCCGCGUGAAGGUAGAAGGCCCUCGGGUUGUAAACUUCUUUUAUCCAGGACGAAACAAAUGACGGUACUUGAUGACUAAGCCACGGCUCACUCCGUGCCCGCAGCCGCGGUACUCCGUAGGUGGCAAGCGUUAUCCGGCGUUACUGGGUGUAAAGGGCGUGUAGGCGGGACUGCAAGUCAGAUGUGAAAACCAUGGGCUCAACCCAUGGCCUGCAUUUGAAACUGUAGUUCUUGAGUGUGGGAGAGGCAGGCGGAAUUCCGUGUGUAGCGGUGAAAUGCGUAGAGAUACGGAGGAACACCAGUGGCGAAGGCGGCCUGCUGGACAAUAACUGACGCUGAGGCGCGAAAGCGUGGGGAGCAAACAGGAUUAGAUACCCGAGUAGUC
rnacentral:rRNA from 1 species